AUUGAACGCUGGCGGCAGGCCUAACACAUGCAAGUCGAGCGAGCGGCGGACGGGUGAGUAAUGUAUGGGGACUGCCUGAUAGAGGGGGAUAACUACUGGAAACGGUGGCUAAUACCGCAUACUAUCGGAUAACCCAUAUGGGAUUAGCUAGUAGGUGGGGUAAAGGCUCACCUAGGCGACGAUCUCUAGCUGGUCUGAGAGGAUGAUCAGCCACAUGGGUACUGAGACACGGCCCAGACUCCUACGGAGGAAGCAGAGGGGAAUAUUGCACAAUGGGCGCAAGCCUGAUGCAGCCAUGCCGCGUGUGUGAAGAAGGCCUUCGGGUUGUAAAGUACUUUCAGCGGGGAGGCGUUACCCGCAGAGGAAGCACCGGCUAACUCCGUGCCAGCCGCCGCGGUAAUAC
rnacentral:rRNA from 1 species